rnacentral:rRNA from 1 species
CCUACGGGAGGCAGCAGUAAGGAAUAUUGGUCAAUGGACGCAAGUCUGAACCAGCCAUGCCGCGUGAAGGAUGAAGGCCCUCUGGGUUGUAAACUUCUUUUACAGGGGACGAAAAAAGGGAAUUCUUUCUCACUUGACGGUACCCUGGGAAUAAGCACCGGCUAACUCCGUGCCAGCAGCCGCGGUAAUACGGAGGGUGCAAGCGUUAUCCGGAUUCACUGGGUUUAAAGGGUGCGUAGGUGGGCAUUUAAGUCAGUGGUGAAAUCUCCGGGCUUAACCCGGAAACUGCCAUUGAUACUAUUUGUCUUGAAUAUUGUGGAGGUAAGCGGAAUAUGUCAUGUAGCGGUGAAAUGCUUAGAUAUGACAUAGAACACCCAUUGCGAAGGCAGCUUACUACGCAAAUAUUGACACUGAGGCACGAAAGCGUGGGGAUCAAACAGGAUUAGAUACCCUGGUAGUCCACGCCCUAAACGAUGGAUACUCGACAUCAGCGAUACACAGUUGGUGUCUGAGCGAAAGCAUUAAGUAUCCACCUGGAAGUACGACCGCAAGGUUGAAACGUUAAAGAGUAGUAGACGUGAGAGUAGCGACGAGACACCAGGAGGAGGAGG